UUAUGGCCAUAUCAUUAAAAAACACUAGUUUCCGUACGAUCACCAAAGUUAAGCAAUGUCAAGCCUGGUCAGUAUCUAGAUGAUUGACCGCUUGGGAAUAACAUGUG